rnacentral:rRNA from 1 species
AUUGAACGCUGGCGGCAGGCUUAACACAUGCAAGUCGAGCGGGGGAAGGUAGCUUGCUACCGGACCUAGCGGCGGACGGGUGAGUAAUGCUUAGGAAUCUGCCUAUUAGUGGGGGACAACAUCUCGAAAGGGAUGCUAAUACCGCAUACGUCCUACGGGAGAAAGCAGGGGAUCACUUGUGACCUUGCGCUAAUAGAUGAGCCUAAGUCGGAUUAGCUAGUUGGUGGGGUAAAGGCCUACCAAGGCGACGAUCUGUAGCGGGUCUGAGAGGAUGAUCCGCCACACUGGGUCUGGGACACGGCCCAGACUCCUACGGGAGGCAGCAGUGGGGAAUAUUGGACAAUGGGGGGAACCCUGAUCCAGCCAUGCCGCGUGUGUGAAGAAGGCCUUAUGGUUGUAAAGCACUUUAAGCGAGGAGGAGGCUCUUUUGGUUAAUACCCAAGAUGAGUGGACGUUACUCGCAGAAUAAGCACCGGCUAACUCUGUGCCAGCAGCCGCCGUAA